CGGACACCGCAGCGCUUUUAUUGCGGGCCAGCUAAGGGAACAGUUACAUAAAAAGGAUGAAUGAACAACAACAAAAGAGGAAGGCUGGGAUCAUAUUAUCUGAAAACUGGAACCACCUGCAUUUAUGAUUUCCUGUUUAGCUGCCUUAGCUUCUGAUCCUGUGAACAUGCUGGUACCAGAGCCUGGAUGCAAGGAGCCAUGGGAAAGGCCUCUGAGUCUGAGCUUCAGCAAGCUGCAGCUUUGCAAGAUGGGAAGUAAGAGUUCAGCUUGGUAA
rnacentral:lncRNA from 1 species